rnacentral:rRNA from 1 species
ACGCUAGCUACAGGCUUAACACAUGCAAGUCGAGGGGCAGCAUUUCAGUUUGCUUGCAAACUGGAGAUGGCGACCGGCGCACGGGUGAGUAACACGUAUCCAACCUGCCGAUAACUCGGGGAUAGCCUUUCGAAAGAAAGAUUAAUACCCGAUGGUAUAAUCAGACCGCAUGGUCUUGUUAUUAAAGAAUUUCGGUUAUCGAUGGGGAUGCGUUCCAUUAGGCAGUUGGUGAGGUAACGGCUCACCAAACCUUCGAUGGAUAGGGGCUCUGAGAGGAAGGUCCCCCACAUUGGAACUGAGACACGGUCCAAACUCCUACGGGAGGCAGCAGUGAGGAAUAUUGGUCAAUGGGCGCAGGCCUGAACCAGCCAAGUAGCGUGAAGGAUGACUGCCCUAUGGGUUGUAAACUUCUUUUAUAUGGGAAUAAAGUUUUCCACGUGUGGAAUUUUGUAUGUACCAUAUGAAUAAGGAUCGGCUAACUCCGUGCCAGCAGCCGCGGUAAUACGGAGGAUCCGAGCGUUAUCCGGAUUUAUUGGGUUUAAAGGGAGCGUAGGUGGACAGUUAAGUCAGUUGUGAAAGUUUGCGGCUCAACCGUAAAAUUGCAGUUGAUACUGGCUGUCUUGAGUACAGCAGAGGUGGGCGGAAUUCGUGGUGUAGCGGUGAAAUGCUUAGAUAUCACGAAGAACUCCGAUUGCGAAGGCAGCUCACUGGACUGCAACUGACACUGAUGCUCGAAAGUGUGGGUAUCAAACAGGAUUAGAUACCCUGGUAGUCCACACAGUAAACGAUGAAUACUCGCUGUUUGCGAUAUACAGUAUGCGGCCAAGCGAAAGCAUUAAGUAUUCCACCUGGGGAGUACGCCGGCAACGGUGAAACUCAAAGGAAUUGACGGGGGCCCGCACAAGCGGAGGAACAUGUGGUUUAAUUCGAUGAUACGCGAGGAACCUUACCCGGGCUUAAAUUGCAUUUGAAUAUAUUGGAAACAGUAUAGCCGUAAGGCAAAUGUGAAGGUGCUGCAUGGUUGUCGUCAGCUCGUGCCGUGAGGUGUCGGCUUAAGUGCCAUAACGAGCGCAACCCUUAUCUUUAGUUACUAACAGGUCAUGCUGAGGACUCUAGAGAGACUGCCGUCGUAAGAUGUGAGGAAGGUGGGGAUGACGUCAAAUCAGCACGGCCCUUACGUCCGGGGCUACACACGUGUUACAAUGGGGGGUACAGAAGGCAGCUACCUGGUGACAGGAUGCUAAUCCCAAAAGCCUCUCUCAGUUCGGAUCGAAGUCUGCAACCCGACUCCGUGAAGCUGGAUUCGCUAGUAAUCGCGCAUCAGCCAUGGCGCGGUGAAUACGUUCCCGGGCCUUGUACACACCGCCCGUCAAGCCAUGAAAGCCGGGGGUACCUGAAGUACGUAACCGCAAGGAGCGUCCUAGGGUAAAACUGGUAAUUGGGG